UUGGUACCAAAAAAAAAAUUCUUUUUAAGGACAACUUGAACUUAAUACACUAUAAAGUAAUGAAAUCAUAUUCUAUAUUUUACAUUGAAAGAAAAAACAUGUUUAAAACUCUCAAGUUUGUGUAUGCUAUGAUUUUUAUUUUUUCGGUAUUCCUCGUUACAAUGAACGAUGGUGAAAUAAUACCGUGUGUAACUGACGAGGAUUGUCCAACGAUUGAUUUUCGCAAGUAUAAGUGUAUCGACAACAAAUGUAGAAAAAUUUGUGUAAAUAAACUAAAUCCAAAAGCACCGGUUUAAAGGGAGUACAGUUACUCCAAGCAAGGAAGAAUGAGUUCUAACGAAAUGAAUUAAGGAACUACAAAAAAUAUUAUAAUUA